rnacentral:rRNA from 1 species
AUGGGGGCAUUGUUUUUGGAGCAGCGGCUGGAUGGAGGAGACAAGUGGUGGAGCGGUUUUUCAUUUACCACAUCAAAGAUGACGGAUCUCAGCGGCGUGGUGCAAUGGGGAUUCGGUGUCCGAUGCAAGGAGAUGGACUCGCGCAGGAGGAGGACGCUGUCUGGCGUCAUGGUGGCGUCGAUGGCAGAGAGGCCUAGCAAGGUCGGUGCGUUAGUUUUUGCUCUGAAGAUGGAUUGGUGGAAGAUGGCGGCGACAACACAUGAGAGUGCGUCAGACCGGUGUAUACCCCAAACCCAGUAUGUGGCUUGA